rnacentral:tRNA from 1 species
GGAAAGAUGCCGGAGUGGUCGAUCGGGGCGGUCUCGAAAACCGUUGUGCCUUAUGGUACCCAGGGUUCGAAUCCCUGUCUUUCCG